rnacentral:rRNA from 1 species
UAAGGAAUAUUGGUCAAUGGACGCAAGUCUGAACCAGCCAUGCCGCGUGGAGGAUGAAGGCCCUCUGGGUUGUAAACUUCUUUUAUCUGGGAAGAAACCGGACCUUUCUAGGGCCGUUGACGGUACCAGAUGAAUAAGCACCGGCUAACUCCGUGCCAGCAGCCGCGGUAAUACGGAGGGUGCAAGCGUUAUCCGGAUUCACUGGGUUUAAAGGGUGCGUAGGUGGGCAGGUAAGUCAGUGGUGAAAUCUCCGGGCUUAACCCGGAAACUGCCGUUGAUACUAUCUGUCUUGAAUGUAGUGGAGGUGAGCGGAAUAUGUCAUGUAGCGGUGAAAUGCUUAGAUAUGACAUAGAACACCCAUUGCGAAGGCAGCUCGCUACACUAUUAUUGACACUGAGGCACGAAAGCGUGGGGAUCAAACA